CCCGGAGGAAAGGACAUCAAACGAGACUCCGCUAGUAGUGGCGAGCGAACGCGGACCAGGCCAGUGGCUUUUAUGAGACAAGUGGAACGCUCUGGAAAGGGCGGCUAGAAUGGGUGACAGCCCCGUACACGUAAUGCGAAUGAAAGUCCUUGAGUAGGGCGGGACACGUGAAAUCCUGUCUGAACAUGGGGAGACCACUCUCCAAGCCUAAGUACUCGUGCAUGACCGAUAGCGAACCAGUACCGUGAGGGAAAGGUGAAAAGCACCCCGACAAGGGGAGUGAAAGAGAUCCUGAAACCGAAUGCCUACAAACAGUUGGAGCCCAAGAUUUGUUCUGGGUGACAGCGUACCUUUUGUAUAAUGGGUCAGCGACUUAGUGUGACGAGCAAGCUUAAACCGGUAGGUGUAGGCGCAGCGAAAGCGAGUCUGAACAGGGCGUUCAGUUCGUCGCAUUAGACCCGAAACCGAGUGAUCUAGCCAUGAGCAGGUUGAAGGCAAGGUAACACUUGCUGGAGGACCGAACCCGCAUCUGUUGCAAUAGAUUGGGAUGACUUGUGGCUAGGGGUGAAAGGCCAAUCAAACUCGGAGAUAGCUGGUUCUCCGCGAAAUCUAUUUAGGUAGAGCGUCGAUUUUAUACUUCCGGGGGUAGAGCACUGGAUGGGCUAGGGGAUCUCACCGAUUUACCAAACCUAACCAAACUCCGAAUACCGGAAAGUACUGAUCGGCAGACACACGGCGGGUGCUAACGUCCGUCGUGAAGAGGGCAACAACCCUGACCACCAUCUAAGGUCCCUAAGUUAUGGCUAAGUGGGAAAGGAUGUGAGGAUCCCAAAACAACCAGGAUGUUGGCUUAGAAGCAGCCAUCAUUUAAAGAAAGCGUAACAGCUCACUGGUCUAAAUAAGGGUCUUUGCGCCGAAAAUGUACCGGGGCUCAAGCCAUACACCGAAGCUGUGGAUUUGCCUGGCAACAGGCAAGUGGUAGCGGAGCGUUCCGUAAGCCGUUGAAGCCGGACCCGUGAGGGCUGGUGGAGGUAUCGGAAGUGAGAAUGCUGACAUGAGUAACGAUAAAGGGAGUGAGAGACUCCCUCGCCGAAAGUCCAAGGGUUCCUGCUUAAAGUUAAUCUGAGCAGGGUUAGCCGGCCCCUAAGGCGAGGCCGAAAGGCGUAGUCGAUGGGAACCACGUUAAUAUUCGUGGGCCUGCGGGUAGUGACGGAUCGCGUAUGUUGUUCCUCCUUAUUGGAUUGGAGGGGCUUCGAAGCGGUUCCAGGAAAUAGCUCCCGCGUAUAGACCGUACCCGAAACCGACACUGGUGGACUGGUAGAGAAUACCAAGGCGCUUGAGAGAACUGCGUUGAAGGAACUCGGCAAAUUGCACGCGUAACUUCGGAAGAAGCGUGACCCUUUUUUACGCAAGUAGAAGGGGGUGGCACAGACCAGGGGGUAGCGACUGUUUACCAAAAACACAGGGCUCUGCGAAGCCGUAAGGCGACGUAUAGGGUCUGACGCCUGCCCGGUGCUGGAAGGUUAAGAGGAGAGGUGCAAGCUUUGAAUCGAAGCCCCAGUAAACGGCGGCCGUAACUAUAACGGUCCUAAGGUAGCGAAAUUCCUUGUCGGGUAAGUUCCGACCUGCACGAAUGGCGUAACGACUUCCCCGCUGUCUCCAACGCAGACUCAGUGAAAUUGAAUUCCCCGUGAAGAUGCGGGGUUCCUGCGGUUAGACGGAAAGACCCCGUGCACCUUUACUAUAGCUUUACACUGGCAUUCGUGUCGGCAUGUGUAGGAUAGGUGGUAGACUUUGAAGCCGUGGCGCCAGCCAUGGUGGAGUCACCCUUGAAAUACCACCUUAUCGUCAUGGAUGUCUAACUGCGGCCCGUAUCCGGGUCCAGGACAGUGUAU
rnacentral:rRNA from 1 species